UACGAAGGGGGCUAGCGUUGCUCGGAAUUACUGGGCGUAAAGCGCACGUAGGCGGUCUUUUAAGUCGGUGGUGAAAUCCUGGAGCUCAACUCCAGACCUGCCUUCGAUACUGGAAGACUUGAGUCCGGGAGAGGUGAGUGGAACUGCGAGUGUAGAGGUGAAAUUCGUAGAUAUUCGCAAGAACACCAGUGGCGAAGGCGGCUCACUGGCCCGGUACUGACGCUGAGGUGCGAAAGCGUGGGGAGCAAACAGG
rnacentral:rRNA from 1 species